ACAGUGAUGUUGUCUUUUCCAAGCAAGUAUCUAAUUGCUCUGUGUGGAAAAUGACUUGCUGAGU
ensembl:snoRNA